GGUGGGGUGCCGGAGCGGUCAAUCGGAGCAGACUGUAAAUCUGCCGGCCUAGCGCCUACGAAGGUUCGAAUCCUUCCCCCACCA
rfam:Gemmatimonadetes bacterium RIFCSPLOWO2_02_FTLL_71_11 rifcsplowo2_02_scaffold_17284, whole genome shotgun sequence.